rnacentral:lncRNA from 1 species
UCUCAACCAGCUUUACCUGGAAUGCUUUUCCAACAGUCUUGAAGGAGUUCCCAAAUAUGCUGAGCAGCUUUUCCUUUACUCUGCGGUCCAACCAAACCAUCUCAAUUGGGUUAAGGUCGUGUGAUUGGGGAGGCCAGGUCAUCUGAUGCAGAUAGCCUAGAUAGCCUUCUGUUACUCUCUCUUUUUCUCUCUCUCUCCUCUGUCUCUCUGUCUCCCUUCUGCUCCUCUCUCUUCUCUUCUCUCUCUCUUCUCUGUCUCUCUUCUGCUCCUCUCUCUUCUACGUCUCUCUUCUGCUCCUCUCUCUUCUGCUCCUCUCUCUUCUUUGUCUCUCUCCUGCUCCACUCUCUUCUCUGUUUCUCUUCUGCUCCUCUCUCUUCUAUGUCUCUCUUCUGCUCCUCUCUCUUCUGCUCCUCUCUCUUCUGCUCCUCUCUCUUCUUUGUCUCUCUCCUGCUCCACUCUCUUCUCUGUCUCUCUUCUGCUCCUCUCUUUUCUCUUUCUCUCUUCUGCUCCUCUCUCUUCUCUGGCUCUCUUCUCUAUCUCUCUUCUCUGUCUCUCCUCUCUUUCUUUCUUCUGCUCCUCUCUCUUCUCUGUCUCUCUUCUGCGCCUCUCUCUUCUCUGUCUCUCUUCUGCGCCUCUCUCUUCUCUGUCUCUCUUCUGCUCUCUCUUCUCUCUUCUCUGUCUCUCUUCUGCUCCUCUUUCUUCUCUGUCUCUCUUCUGCUCCUCUCUUUUCUCUGUCUCCCUUCUGCUCCUCUCUCUUCUCUGUCUGUCUUCUGCUCCCCUCUCUUAUCUUUCUCUCUUCUGUCUCUCUUCUGCUCCUCUCUCUUCUCUGUCUCUCUUCUCUGUCUCUCUUCUGUUCCUCUCUCUUCUCUGUCUCUCUUCUCUGUCUCUCUUCUGCUCCUCUCUCUUCUCUGUCUCUCUUCUCUGUCUCUCUUCUCUGUCUCUCUUCUGCUCCUCUCUCUUCUGUGUCUCUCUUCUGCUACUCUCUCUUCUCUUUCUCUCUUCUGCUCCUCUCUCUUCUCUGUCUCUCUUCUGCUCCUCUCUCUUCUCUGUCUCUCUUCUGCUCCUCUCUCUUCUCUUUUUCUCUUCUGCUCCUCUCUCUUCUCUGUCUCUCUUCUGCUCCUCUCUCUUCUCUGUCGCUCUUCUGCUCCUCUCUCUUCUCUUUCUCUCUUCUGCUCCUCUCUCUUCUCUUUCUCUCUUCUGCUCCUCUCUCUUCUCUGUCUCUCUUCUGCUCCUCUCUCUUCUCUCUCUCUCUUCUCUUUCUCUCUUCUGCUCCUCUCUCUUAUCUGUCUCUCUUCUGCUCCUCUCUCUUCUCUGUCUCUCUUCUGGUCCUCUCUCUUCUCUGUCUCUCUUGUCUGUCUCUCUUCUGCUCCUCUCUCUUGUCUGUCUCUCUUCUGCUCCUCUCUCUUCUCUGUCUCCCUUCUGCUCCUCUCUCUGUCUCUCUUCUGCUCAUCUCUCUUCUCUGUCUCUCUUCUCUCUCUCUCUUCUCUGUCUCUCUUCUGCUCCUCUCUCUUCUCUGUCUCUCUUCUGCUCCUCUCUCUUCUCUGUCUCUCUUCUCUGUCUCUCUUCUGCUCCUCUCUCUUCUCUGUCUCUCUUCUCUGUCUCUCUUCUGCUCCUCUCUCUUCUCUGUCUCUCUUCUGCUCCUCUCUCUUCUCUGUCUCUCUUCUGGUCCCCUCUCUUCUCUGUCUCUCUUCUCUCUCUCUCUCUCUUUUCUGUCUCUCUCCUGCUCCUCUCUCUUCUCUGUCUCUCUUCUGGUCCCCUCUCUUCUCUGUCUCUCUUCUGGUCCCCUCUCUUCUCUGUCUCUCUUCUGCUCCUCUCUCCUGCUCCUCUCUCUUCUCUGUCUCUCUUCUGGUCCCCUCUCUUCUCUGUCUCUCUUCUGGUCCUCUCUCUUCUCUGUCUCUCUCGACGUCUAUCCGUCUCGCUCCUUCUCUUUCCCUCUUUGUAAUGCACACGCAUAGCCAUUGCACGUCCAAAACCUGGCAAAAACCAGGUACAGCUAACCAUUGAACCAAAUGCAAACCAUUCAGGCGUUUGAACCAUACGAAAACACAUAAAAAUAUAUACAAGCCACAAACCCCAGGCAUUUGAGAAAGGAAUCCAUGCAUUAUUACAAUGUCACAUUUCAAAA